UUUCAAAUUACAUAUUUUGCAAAGCAUGACAUAAACAUAUUGACUGCAUUAUCGCAAGUAAAAUAUCUUCCCUGAAUUACCGAACUAAACCACGUGCAGAACGUGAACUUUUCACAUGUCGAAACGGUUGACGCGACAAUGAAAAACGACUGAACACAAGUCUAAAACGAGUAAUUUCUUUUCCGGAUCAUACCGAUUUUAUCUUUUCUGACAUUGCG